CAUCAUAUUGUGCACAAGUUUGGCACAUGACGAAUGAAAGCAAUUAAACGACUAUAGCCUCCUUAAGUCAGCCAUCCCUAGCAACAGUUUUUAUUUGAGGAAAUUUGAGUUAAGUUCUCACGAGGGUUGUGCUUAGCUGAAAAGGAAGAAACCAGCUGGCCGACUAGAGCCUAAAGCUAACUAUCUGCCGCUCGAACGUAUCCGCCGGUCACAUUAUCACUUUUCGACGCUGAACUCAUCAAAGCCUGCCUGCGGCAAUUUAUUUAUCGUGAUGCUAUUCCUAACUCCUGUUCUUUACCCUGGAUCUGUUCUGCUAAGAACUAAACGAACUAAAUGCCAAAAUAAGAAGAGAAAGAUGUGGAUGGGAAAACAAACUAACUACAGAGAAUGAAAAGAGCGUCAAUACAAAAGAAGAAAAGGAAACUGAUAGGCCAUGCAAAUGCAUCAGAAACUUCCGUAAUCAACCACGCAAAAUAAUCAGCCCUGUGGAGGUGGUGGCAUUUGGCGAACAAAUAUUCGAUGUUCGUUCACCUCCUCGUUAAAACACCAUGGUAUUUUUAGAGCAAGCCGCCAGCGUUUCCGAGGCACCGUGAUUGAAUGUUUUGGUAGUGCCCACAGCAUUUUCAGCCGGGUGCAUGGACGCACACCUCAUGCUCUUGAACCGGAACAUGACCAGUCUCUCUCUGCGACCUUUUUUUUUAACCUCUUUCCAUUCACUCACUGAGCUUUGAAUAAUUUGUUAUUUCUAUAUUUCAAGAAAAUCGUGUUGUCUGGUUGGGUUUCAUCGGAGUUGAUGUAAUUUAUUGGAUCACCUCAACACAGAAAUGUUAAUGAAUUAUUCAGACAGGUAGCAUAGAUUAGUUUGUUAGAAAUUCAACGUUAGGUUUCGAUUGACUCACUCUGUGACGUCCCGGCUUUCCAUAUUUGGCUGGAAAAUAUCUUACCUGAGAUAUCGACUGAGGAUGGAUGAGGAUCAAGUACAAGCCCAAUGAAGGGGAAGUCACGUGGUUCAACCACGUGACCUUCCAAACGUUACUACCUAGCUCAAUCUUUGGAUCGAUGAGUAUAUGUCAGAUAUUACGAGAUACAUUUUCGCACAACAAACGGUUUUAAAAUUAAGACAAUGAUUUUGAUUGAGCGACUGUAAGGAAUGUUUAUCACUUAUUAGACUUCACAUUCAUUUGUAUUGAUGCAUUUGAACUAAAGAAGGUUUACUUAACCUAUAUACUCUAAGCAAAUUACAAUUGCCAAAAUGCGAAACUGUGAAUUAACCGCUAUCCUCCAUUACAAAUUUUAUAAACCCAAGACCGGCCCGAGCAAAUAGGACCGAUGUUUACUUUAACUGUAUUGCGUUUAAAGGUGAAUCCGCUGUAGCCCGUGAGCCGGGGUUUUUACCAGGCAGGCUUCAACACGCGACGGUGGCGAAGCCUUGAAAAACAAAUAUGGUAAGGAGUAAAAAAAACUCUUAUUUACAUAAUUUUUUUUUACAAUCCGGCUUCCUUCUAAAUUGAAUAUAUUCGUUGACAUAGUUCCUUCGAAAAACUUACGUAGAAUACUAGAUAAUACGGUCUUAUCAACGGAAUAAAUAACGUAAAUUGUG
rnacentral:lncRNA from 1 species